UCCCUGGAGGUCCAGUGAUUAAGACUUUACGUUUCCACUGUAGAGGACACAGGUUCAAGCCCUGGUCUGGGAA
rnacentral:tRNA from 1 species